rnacentral:rRNA from 1 species
UACGUAGGGGGCGAGCGUUAUCCGGAUUCAUUGGGCGUAAAGCGCGCGUAGGCGGCCGCCUAAGCGGAACCUCUAACCCCGGGGCUCAACCUCGGGCCGGGUUCCGGACUGGGCGGCUCGAGUGCGGUAGAGGAGAGCGGAAUUCCCGGUGUAGCGGUGGAAUGCGCUGAUAUCGGGAAGAACACCGAUGGCGAAGGCAGCUCUCUGGGCCGUCACUGACGCUGAGGCGCGAAAGCUGGGGGAGCGAACAGG